AUUUCCAAAAGAAGUUCAAAAAUUUUGUAAAUCAAUAUGUACAGUCAAAAUAAUCCACAAAUCCACUUCUUUAUUAAAAUAUCAGAUCUUGUGUAUUUAAUGAAAUGAGAAGAAAGGUUUUUUUAUAAGCUACUUACGCAAAACUUAAGGAAGCUCAAUGGUUUCUGGUACUAGUAGUGCUCAUAAAAUUUAGCGGAUCUGUGUAAAAACAACUUACGAACUGUAAAUCGAAUCUGGCACCGCAGAAGAUACACUCUCACUCUUUCGAGCGUGCAGUAUAGGUGGAUGGGUAUACAACACAACAGGUGCAAUGACCACAUACCUAGGCGGUGGUUGGUUCAAAUAGUGUAUAAACUGUCAUGGAAACGCGGCGCUCUGUGGACGGCAAAACAUGCAAGGGAAUUUGAUCUGAUUAAUACCCACUGUACUAUAUACUAGGGGCUU